AAAUUGAAGAGUUUGAUCAUGGCUCAGAUUGAACGCUGGCGGCAGGCCUAACACAUGCAAGUCGAACGGUAGCACAGAGGAGCUUGCUCCUUGGGUGACGAGUGGCGGACGGGUGAGUAAUGUCUGGGAAACUGCCCGAUGGAGGGGGAUAACUACUGGAAACGGUAGCU
rnacentral:rRNA from 1 species